rnacentral:rRNA from 1 species
GACGAACGCUGGCGGCGUGCUUAACACAUGCAAGUCGAACGGAAAGGCCCUGCUUUUGUGGGGUGCUCGAGUGGCGAACGGGUGCGUAACACGUGAGUAACCUGCUCUUGACUUUGGGAUAACUUCAGGAAACUGGGGCUAAUACCGUAUAGGAGCUCCUGCUGCAUGGUGGGGGUUGGAACGUUUCUGCGGUUGGGGUUGGACUCGCGGCUUAUCAGCUUGUUGGUGGGGUAGUGGCUUACCAAGCCUUUGACGGGUAGCCGGCCUGUGAGGGUGACCGGCCACAUUGGGACUGAGAUACGGCCCAGACUCCUACGGGAGGCAGCAGGGGGGAAUAUUGCACAAUGGGCGGAAGCCUGAUGCAGCAACGCCGCGUGCGGGAUGACGGCCUUCGGGUUGUAAACCGCUUUCGCCUGUGACGAAGCGUGAGUGACGGUAAUGGGUAAAGAAGCACCGGCUAACUACGUG